rnacentral:ncRNA from 2 species
AAUUCAGUUAAAGCGCCAGUACAAAUGCAGUGUCUUAUCCAUCAUUUAAGGUUUAAUAUCAGAAAUCUUAAUAGAUAGGUCGUCUGUAUUUGUAGACGAGGUGGAUAGUUAUCGAGAUUUCGGCGGAUGCUAUCCCGGAUGGUUAGGCUCAUUCGUAAGCUUAAUGAUGAAAACACUAGGGUAACUUAGUGCACAAAGUUAUUAAGCAAGCCUAUA